UGGUGGGGUAAUGGCCUACCAAGGCUUCGACGGGUAGCCGGCCUGAGAGGGUGACCGGCCACACUGGGACUGAGACACGGCCCAGACUCCUACGGGAGGCAGCAGUGGGGAAUAUUGGACAAUGGGCGGAAGCCUGAUCCAGCAACGCCGCGUGAGGGAUGACGGCCUUCGGGUUGUAAACCUCUUUCAGUACCGACGAAGCGCCGAUGAUGGUGGUGACGGUAGGUACAGAAGAAGCACCGGCCAACUACGUG
rnacentral:rRNA from 1 species